UACGUAGGGUGCGAGCGUUGUCCGGAAUUAUUGGGCGUAAAGAGCUCGUAGGCGGCUUGUCACGUCGGUUGUGAAAGCCCGGGGCUUAACCCCGGGUCUGCAGUCGAUACGGGCAGGCUAGAGUUCGGUAGGGGAGAUCGGAAUUCCUGGUGUAGCGGUGGAAAUGACGCAGAUAUCAGGAGGAACACCGGUGGCGAAGGCGGAUCUCUGGGCCGAUACUGACGCUGAGGAGCGAAAGCGUGGGGAGCGAACAGG
rnacentral:rRNA from 1 species